rnacentral:rRNA from 1 species
AUUGAACUCUGGCGGCAGGCCUAACACAUGCAAGUCGAGCGGAUGAAGGGAGCUUGCUCCUGGAUUCAGCGGCGGACGGGUGAGUAAUGCCUAGGAAUCUGCCUGGUAGUGGGGGAUAACGUCCGGAAACGGGCGCUAAUACCGCAUACGUCCUGAGGGAGAAAGUGGGGGAUCUUCGGACCUCACGCUCUCAGAUGAGCCUAGGUCGGAUUAGCUAGUUGGUGGGGUAAAGGCCUACCAAGGCGACGAUCCGUAACUGGUCUGAGAGGAUGAUCAGUCACACUGGAACUGAGACACGGUCCAGACUCCUACGGGAGGCAGCAGUGGGGAAUAUUGGACAAUGGGCGAAAGCCUGAUCCAGCCAUGCCGCGUGUGUGAAGAAGGUCUUCGGAUUGUAAAGCACUUUAAGUUGGGAGGAAGGGCAGUAAGUUAAUACCUUGCUGUUUUGACGUUACCAACAGAAUAAGCACCGGCUAACUUCGUG